CAGGGCGAAUGUCUUGUAAUUGGAAUGAUGGUGACCCAAACCCUCACCAGAGUAGCAAUUGGAGGGCAAGUCUGGUGCCAGCAGCCGCGGUAAUUCCAGCUCCAAUAGCGUAUAUUAAACUUGUUGCAGUUAAAAAGCUCGUAGUUGUAUUUUUGCGUUAGCGGUUUGACCAUUUGGUUGGUUAUUUCGUUUUCGCUUUUGGGAAUUUCCCUUUUUACUUUGAGAAAAUUAGAGUGUUUCAAGCAGACUUUUGUCUUGAAUACUUCAGCAUGGAAUAAUAGAGUAGGACUUUGGUUCUAUUUUGUUGGUUAUUGAACCUUAGUAAUGGUUAAUAGGAACGGUUGGGGGCAUUCGUAUUUAACUGUCAGAGGUGAAAUUCUUAGAUUUGUUAAAGACGAACUACUGCGAAAGCAUUUGCCAAGGACGUUUCCAUUAAUCAAGAACGAAAGUUAGGGGAUCGAAGA
rnacentral:rRNA from 1 species